rnacentral:rRNA from 1 species
AACGAACGCUGGCGGCAGGCCUAACACAUGCAAGUCGAGCGCCCGCAAGGGAGCGGCAGACGGGUGAGUAACGCGUGGGAAUUUACCCCGAGGUACGGAACAACUCGGCGAAAGCUGAGCUAAUACCGUAUGUGACCGAGAGGUGAAAGAUUUAUCGCCUCGGGAUGAGCCCGCGUAGGAUUAGCUAGUUGGUGGGGUAAUGGCCCACCAAGGCGACGAUCCUUAGCUGGUCUGAGAGGAUGAUCAGCCACACUGGGACUGAGACACGGCCCAGACUCCUACGGGAGGCAGCAGUGGGGAAUAUUGGACAAUGGGGGCAACCCUGAUCCAGCCAUGCCGCGUGAGUGAUGAAGGCCUUAGGGUUGUAAAGCUCUUUCGCCCACGACGAUAAUGACUGUAGCGGGAGAAGAAGCCCCGGCUAACUUCGUGCCAGCCGCCGCAGUAACAC